rnacentral:rRNA from 1 species
GACGGAGGAGGCUAGCGUUGUUCGGAAUUACUGGGCGUAAAGCGCAUGAAGGUGGUGAAGUAAGCCGGAUGUGAAAGCCCUGGGCUCAACCUGGGAACUGCAUCCAAAACUACUGAGCUAGAGUACGGUAGAGGGUAGUGGAAUUUCCUGUGUAGCGGUGAAAUGCGUAGAUAUAGGAAGGAACACCAGUGGCGAAGGCGACUACCUGGACUGAUACUGACACUGAGGUGCGAAAGCGUGGGGGAGCAAACAGGGG